AGAGUUUGAUCAUGGCUCAGGACGAACGCUGGCGGCGUGCCUAACACAUGCAAGUCGAACGAGGUCCAACCAGUGGCAACACCGGUGAAGACCUAGUGGCGAACGGGUGAGUAACACGUGAGGAACCUGCCCCGAAGACCGGGAUAACUCUCCGAAAGGAGUGCUAAUACCGGAUGUCCCCACCGGACCGCAUGGUCUGGUGAGGAAAUGGAUUCCGCUUCGGGAGGGCCUCGCGGCCUAUCAGCUAGUUGGUGGGGUAACGGCCCACCAAGGCAUCGACGGGUAGCUGGUCUGAGAGGACGAUCAGCCACACUGGGACUGAGACACGGCCCAGACUCCUACGGGAGGCAGCAGUGGGGAAUCUUGCGCAAUGGGCGAAAGCCUGACGCAGCAACGCCGCGUGGGGGAUGAAGGCUCUCGGGUUGUAAACCCCUUUCAGCAGGGACGAAUCAAGACGGUACCUGCAGAAGAAGCCCCGGCUAACUACGUGCCAGCAGCCGCGGUAACACGUAGGGGGCAAGCGUUGUCCGGAUUUAUUGGGCGUAAAGAGCUCGUAGGUGGUUGAGUAAGUCGGAUGUUAAAUCCCCAGGCUCAACCUGGGACACCACCCGAUACUGCUCUGGCUAGAGUCCGGUAGGGGAGCGUGGAAUUCCUGGUGUAGCGGUGAAAUGCGCAGAUAUCAGGAGGAACACCAGCGGCGAAGGCGGCGCUCUGGGCCGGUACUGACACUGAGGAGCGAAAGCGUGGGUAGCAAACAGGAUUAGAUACCCUAGUAGUCC
rnacentral:rRNA from 1 species